rnacentral:rRNA from 1 species
GACGAACGCUGGCGGCGUGCCUAAUACAUGCAAGUAGAACGCUGAAGGAGGAGCUUGCUUCUCCGGAUGAGUUGCGAACGGGUGAGUAACGCGUAGGUAACCUGCCUGGUAGCGGGGGAUAACUAUUGGAAACGAUAGCUAAUACCGCAUAAGAGUAGAUGUUGCAUGACAUUUGCUUAAAAGGUGCAAUUGCAUCACUACCAGAUGGACCUGCGUUGUAUUAGCUAGUUGGUGGGGUAACGGCUCACCAAGGCGACGAUACAUAGCCGACCUGAGAGGGUGAUCGGCCACACUGGGACUGAGACACGGCCCAGACUCCUACGGGAGGCAGCAGUAGGGAAUCUUCGGCAAUGGACGGAAGUCUGACCGAGCAACGCCGCGUGAGUGAAGGAGGUUUUCGGAUCGUAAAGCUCUGUUGUAAGAGAAGAACGAGUGUGAGAGUGGAAAGUUCACACUGUGACGGUAUCUUACCAGAAAGGGACGGCUAACUACGUGCCAGCAGCCGCGGUAAUACGUAGGUCCCGAGCGUUGUCCGGAUUUAUUGGGCGUAAAGCGAGCGCAGGCGGUUAGAUAAGUCUGAAGUUAAAGGCUGUGGCUUAACCAUAGUACGCUUUGGAAACUGUUUAACUUGAGUGCAAGAGGGGAGAGUGGAAUUCCAUGUGUAGCGGUGAAAUGCGUAGAUAUAUGGAGGAACACCGGUGGCGAAAGCGGCUCUCUGGCUUGUAACUGACGCUGAGGCUCGAAAGCGUGGGGAGCAAACAGG